GGGCCGUUAGCUCAGCUGGUAGAGCAGUGGACUCUUAAUCCAUCGGUCCGGGGUUCGAAUCCCUGACGGCCCACCA
rnacentral:tRNA from 2 species